CCUACGGGGGGCAGCAGUGGGGAAUAUUGGACAAUGGGGGCAACCCUGAUCCAGCCAUGCCGCGUGUGUGAAGAAGGCCCUCGGGUUGUAAAGCACUUUCAGUGAGGAAGAACGCCUGGUGGUUAAUACCCAUCAGGAAAGACAUCACUCACAGAAGAAGCACCGGCUAACUCCGUGCCAGCAGCCGCGGUAAUACGGAGGGUGCGAGCGUUAAUCGGAAUUACUGGGCGUAAAGCGCGCGUAGGUGGCUUGAUAAGCCGGUUGUGAAAGCCCCGGGCUCAACCUGGGAACGGCAUCCGGAACUGUCAAGCUAAAGUGCAGGAGAGGAAGGUAGAAUUCCCGGUGUAGCGGUGAAAUGCGUAGAGAUCGGGAGGAAUACCAGUGGCGAAGGCGGCCUUCUGGACUGACACUGACACUGAGGUGCGAAAGCGUGGGUAGCAAACAGGAUUAGAUACCCUAGUAGUC
rnacentral:rRNA from 1 species